rnacentral:rRNA from 1 species
UACGCAGGGGGCUAGCGUUGUUCGGAAUCACUGGGCGUAAAGGGCGCGUAGGCGGCUGUUCAAGUCGGGGGUGAAAGCCUGUGGCUCAACCACAGAAUUGCCUUCGAUACUGGACGGCUGGAGACCGGAAGAGGUCAGUGGAACUGCGAGUGUAGAGGUGAAAUUCGUAGAUAUUCGCAAGAACACCAGUGGCGAAGGCGGCUGACUGGUCCGGUUCUGACGCUGAGGCGCGAAAGCGUGGGGAGCAAACAGG